CCUGCCCCAAGAAGCAGUGCAAGUGUGGCUGCUAUGUCACAUCUUUACCACUAGGUGGCAGAGAGGAGCGACGAUGUCUAUGCUCUGAUUAGUAGCCUAACGUU
rnacentral:snoRNA from 1 species